AAGGCUUAUUUUCAAACGGUGCCGUUUAACACCUUAAUUCACUUAGGCAUAUCCUCGUCUCUUCGACUAAAUCUCAAUCCCACAACUUUUCUUCAUACUUAAAUUUUUAUUAUUAUUAUUAUAAUAUAAUUUUAAAAGCUCGAGCUCGGUGCUUGACUCCUUGUCAAAUAAAUAUACGGAUCGACAUGAUACGCGGCAUGCAGACGUGGGAACGGGAAUCCGCUAAGAAAUAUAUAGAAUUCUUGGACAUCUUACGGGCAGGAUUGAAAAUCCGCUUAGAAAUAAAUUUGCACGCAUCCUUGUUAGUUACCGAAUGACUGUCCUACACCAACUAAAUGCAUAUUUGAUCACGGAAAAUCAAAACCAAGUUGGCGCAAGUCCAGUAUUUCAUGCGGGCUGGAGGUAAAUUUUUGGCGACUAAAUUUUGAUCCCUAAAGGUUCACCUUCAGCGACUAAAAAAAAUUUAGUCAAGAAAAGUAUACAUGUAGGGACGUGUGAGAAACCAAAUAAACCCUAAUUCCCUAUUCUUCUAUUCCGCUUUAACUCCUUGCCUUCACCCGCACGUCGCCUUCACCGCACUUCGCCCUCGCCCGUUCGCCCAUUUGCCGUUCGCUCAUCUCUUCGGCAUCCACAGCAAGCGUCCCAAGGUUCAUCAUCAAAGCGCGUGCGGGGUAAGACAGUUGGAAAAGGAAUUGAUAAGCUCAUUGCCCAGAAUGGCGGAGAAAAGCUCUCCGUUCCAGUACUUGAUGAGUGGAAUGCUUUGUGUGGUAUUAAUGCCCCAAAGGUAGCCAAUCAUAAUGUUUUCUUUAGAUUUUUAAUUUGUAUUUUUUUGAAGGUGAGAUCAAAAGCUGGCAAAAAGAAUAGAAAAAAGCUCGAGUACAAUCAUUAUUCAGGAUCUCGGUCAUUUGUUGCAACAAUGAAUAUAUAGAAUUCUUCAUCUUCUUCCACACCUAGUCGUGUGUCAUAAGACCAUGUUGGAGAGUUGCAGAAACUUAAAGCUGAGAUGGAGGAGAUGAAGAUGGAGCGUGAGGAGCUGCGGAGGCAAUUGGAGCAGGAGAGGAGAGAGCGUGAGGAGGAAAAGAAAGAACGAGAGGAAGAACAGAAGCAAAUUGCACAUCUUACAAGUUCGGUGACAGAGUUCUUAAAGGGAAAGACUCAAAUGCACAAGUUAUCUAUCCAUCAUGAUGGGGCCAUGUAUUCAACUGGUGGUACAAAUACUCGUUGAUACAUGGUGGAGUUAUGAGCAUGUAAAAUCUAGUUUCUGGUAUAUGGAUAGCUUUUGUUCAGAUGAUCAUGGUGGAGUUGUCUACAAGCAGAAUCCAGUUUUUGGUAUAAGAAUAUUUUUGUCUACAUGUUGGUUGUUUGGAUGAAUAGCAAGAUUAGAUAUUUUGGGAUUUUUAAUUUAUAUUUUGAUGUGUUUGGUGAUGAUUAUCACCUUAACAUAUUGUAUGGAUGAAACAUUUUGAUGUAUGGUUAAUAGGUAUACUUGACUUUAGACUUAUAGAUGAUGAUAUUUAUAAUGAAUGAUUAUGGAUUCUCCAA